GGCCGCUUUGGGAUGGGCCUACGUCCGAUUAGAUAGUUGGUGGGGUAAUGGCCUACCAAGUCUGCGAUCGGUAACUGGUCUGAGAGGAUGAUCAGUCACACUGGAACUGAGACACGGUCCAGACUCCUACGGGAGGCAGCAGUGAGGAAUUUUGCGCAAUGGGGGAAACCCUGACGCAGCGACGCCGCGUGGAGGAUGACGUCCUUCGGGAUGUAAACUCCUGUCAGUGGGAACGAUAAUGACGGUACCCACAGAGGAAGCACCGGCUAACUCCGUGCCAGCAGCCGCGGUAAGACGGAGGGUGCAAGCGUUGUUCGGAAUUACUGGGCGUAAAGCGUACGUAGGCGGUUGAUUAAGUCAAAUGUAAAAGCCCGGGGCUCAACCCCGUGGUCGCAUUUGAUACUGGUCGACUAGAGGGCGAUAGAGGAAAGCGGAAUUCCGAGUGUAGCGGUGAAAUGCGUAGAUAUUCGGAGGAACAUCGGUAGCGAAAGCGGCUUUCUGGGUCGCUCCUGACGCUGAGGUACGAAAGCGUGGGUAGCAAACGGGAUUAGAU
rnacentral:rRNA from 1 species